UACACCUGUACCCAUGCCGAACACAGAAGUUAAG
rnacentral:rRNA from 1 species